GGACCUUGGCAUAGCAACGCGCUACUCAGCACGAUCGAGGAACGUCGCUUAGCGAGUUCGAGCCUCGUCGAUGUGUUUGUGUGCGUAUAUGUAUAUUCAGAGAGAGGCUGGACGAAGAAGAACUCGAGUACCGUAGCGUUCUUCAACUUUGAGCGAGCACUGCCGCCAUUCGCCUGGCCAUAUCCCUAAACUGGACAGUAGACGAGGUACCGUCUCAAACAAUGCAUACCACAGGCAUCUAUGCUUUUGCUAAGAAUCAAGUUUUUCCAGGCAUGACGCUGGAGAUCGCCGUUGGACCAGAGCUGGUGCUGGUGAGUGUUUACCUCGCUGUCCGCAGCAAGCUCGGAAACUGCCUCGAGUCUGGCUCCGCACCGAUAUGUUCUCAGAGAUUUUAGGCAAGAAUGGAAGGGGUCCUCUUGCCUAACUCGGGCGUAGACACGAAAUCUUGGGUUAAGUACCAGUGUCUUUAACACUGGCUCUUUGCAAGCGUUCUCUGCAGCCGCCUACUUUUCCACCCGGCUGUAUCCGGCUUUAGAUACGCCGGUCUCUGUUUUCCCUCCAGUUUCGUUGUCCGUAGUCGAAGGAUGUUGGUGGUAGUGUUCAAGUUCCGACUGUGCUGUUUGUAGCUCCUGUCGACGACUUUCAUCAAUAGGUGGUCGUCGUAGUACCGCUCAGCGCAUCGCUUGCCAUUUGCACCUUCGCUGUAUACGGCCUCGGUGUACCAUCCGCAGCGAUGACACUAGCCUGGCGUCAGACGUUCGUCAAGGUGUGUCCACGAAGCAGCCUCGAAAAGCUGCCCGGUCACGUCUGAAGGCGUGCUGCAUCGCUCGAUACAUGUGUUUGACGGGUCCAGAGGGCUCGCGUUGAUACCCAUGUUCGUUAUGGCGCCCGGUGACGUACGCGAUGACCAGAGACCUCCUCUGGGUGUUCCUCUCUCGACGAGUACGCUGCCUGAUGCACGCGCUAGCGCACGCUGCCCCAUUCAAAAGACGAUUGGGGGAACGCGCUCAUGUACAUGACGGACAAAGUACGGAAGUGCUGUCUGAAGCGGGCGAGAAUGCUCGAUUCUUUACGCUCCCUCUAUACACAACAGUGGCGUACGCUUCACCGGAGGCGAUCGUCGAGGUGACUCGAAUCCGAGUCCAAGCUCCCUUGUCAUGCAAACAGAACAGACUGGAUCCUCUGGGAGCGUUUCCCACGUGAGGUAUCGAGCAUCGUUGGAAUCCCGGUUCGUCGAUGACCAUACAGGUAGACGUAUUUGUCUUUCGAAAGGAAUCGAUUACGAUUUAAUGUGAGGAUUCCAGUAACUUUUCGUCAUGAGCUUCUGAAACAGUCGACCAAGGAUGGCAUUGAGUAAUUCUUAUCGUCGAUCUGGUGGCGCCAAUGGCUGCACCCACAAGUUGCCUUGAAACAGAAAAAUCGAACACUUGAAAUCUGCGUGGCGUAAGCAUGCGACGCAUGAGGAAAAGAGAAGAACGCAGGUUUGCGCGUUUGCAGUAGAUCUUGGUAGGGAUUGUUUCACGAACGGGUAUUUGAGGGCGCUGCGAAUCUUCUUGACUCUGGUGACGUAAAGAACUCCAGUCGUGUAGCGUCGAAAGAGCCAUUCCGAAAAGACGAUCGAGAAUCGUAAAUACACGCACGAAAC